rnacentral:rRNA from 1 species
CGCGGCCUAUCAGCUUGUUGGUGGGGUAGUGGCCUACCAAGGCGACGACGGGUAGCCGGCCUGAGAGGGUGACCGGCUACACUGGGACUGAGACACGGCCCAGACUCCUACGGGAGGCAGCAGUGGGGAAUAUUGCGCAAUGGGCGGAAGCCUGACGCAGCGACGCCGCGUGAGGGAUGAAGGCCUUCGGGUUGUAAACCUCUUUCAGCAGGGACGAAGCGAAAGUGACGGUACCUGCAGAAGAAGCACCGGCCAACUACGUGCCAGCAGCCGCGGUAAUACGUAGGGUGCAAGCGUUGUCCGGAAUUAUUGGGCGUAAAGAGCUCGUAGGCGGUUUGUCACGUCGGUUGCGAAAAUCCGAGGCUCAACCUCGGACCUGCAAUCGAUACGGGCAGGCUAGAGUUUGGUAGGGGAGACUGGAAUUCCUGGUGUAGCGGUGAAAUGCGCAGAUAUCAGGAGGAACACCGGUGGCGAAGGCGGGUCUCUGGGCCAAUACUGACGCUGAGGAGCGAAAGCGUGGGGAGCGAACAGGAUUAGAUACCCUGGUAGUCCACGCCGUAAACGGUGGGCGCUAGGUGUGGGGAGUUUUCCACUCUCUCCGUGCCGCAGCUAACGCAUUAAGCGCCCCGCCUGGGGA